GAGAUCGGGAUAACGCCUGGAAACAGAUGCUAAUACCGGAUAACAAUAGAUGAUGCCUAUCAACUGUUUAAAAGAUGGUUCUGCUAUCACUCUUGGAUGGACCUGCGGUGCAUUAGCUAGUUGGUAGGGUAACGGCCCACCAAGGCGAUGAUGCAUAGCCGAGUUGAGAGACUGAUCGGCCACAUUGGGACUGAGACACGGCCCAAACUCCUACGGGAGGCAGCAGGC
rnacentral:rRNA from 1 species